rnacentral:rRNA from 1 species
GUUCAUGGCUCAGGAUGAACGCUAGCUACAGGCUUAACACAUGCAAGUCGAGGGGCAGCAUGGACCCAGCUUUGCUGGGUUUGAUGGCGACCGGCGCACGGGUGAGUAACGCGUAUCCAACCUGCCCUUUACUCCGGGAUAGUCUCCUGAAAGGGAGUUUAAUACCGGAUGUGUUUGUCUUUCCGCAUGGGAGCGACAAAUAAAGAUUAAUUGGUAAAGGAUGGGGAUGCGUCCCAUUAGCUUGUUGGCGGGG